rnacentral:rRNA from 1 species
AAAUUGAAGAGUUUGAUCAUGGCUCAGAUUGAACGCUGGCGGCAGGCCUAACACAUGCAAGUCGAACGGUAACAGGAAGCAGCUUGCUGCUUCGCUGACGAGUGGCGGACGGGUGAGUAAUGUCUGGGAAACUGCCUGAUGGAGGGGGAUAACUACUGGAAACGGUGGCUAAUACCGCAUAACGUCGCAAGACCAAAGAGGGGGACCUUCGGGCCUCUUGCCAUCAGAUGUGCCCAGAUGGGAUUAGCUUGUUGGUGAGGUAACGGCUCACCAAGGCGACGAUCCCUAGCUGGUCUGAGAGGAUGACCAGCCACACUGGAACUGAGACACGGUCCAGACUCCUACGGGAGGCAGCAGUGGGGAAUAUUGCACAAUGGGCGCAAGCCUGAUGCAGCCAUGCCGCGUGUAUGAAGAAGGCCUUCGGGUUGUAAAGUACUUUCAGCGGGGAGGAAGGUGUUGCGGUUAAUAACCGCAGCAAUUGACGUUACCCGCAGAAGAAGCACCGGCUAACUCCGUGCCAGCAGCCGCGGUAAUACGGAGGGUGCAAGCGUUAAUCGGAAUUACUGGGCGUAAAGCGCACGCAGGCGGUCUGUCAAGUCGGAUGUGAAAUCCCCGGGCUCAACCUGGGAACUGCAUUCGAAACUGGCAGGCUUGAGUCUUGUAGAGGGGGGUAGAAUUCCAGGUGUAGCGGUGAAAUGCGUAGAGAUCUGGAGGAAUACCGGUGGCGAAGGCGGCCCCCUGGACAAAGACUGACGCUCAGGUGCGAAAGCGUGGGGAGCAAACAGGAUUAGAUACCCUGGUAGUCCACGCCGUAAACGAUGUCUACUUGGAGGUUGUGCCCUUGAGGCGUGGCUUCCGGAGCUAACGCGUUAAGUAGACCGCCUGGGGAGUACGGCCGCAAGGUUAAAACUCAAAUGAAUUGACGGGGGCCCGCACAAGCGGUGGAGCAUGUGGUUUAAUUCGAUGCAACGCGAAGAACCUUACCUGGUCUUGACAUCCACGGAACUUUCCAGAGAUGGAUUGGUGCCUUCGGGAACCGUGAGACAGGUGCUGCAUGGCUGUCGUCAGCUCGUGUUGUGAAAUGUUGGGUUAAGUCCCGCAACGAGCGCAACCCUUAUCCUUUGUUGCCAGCGAUUCGGUCGGGAACUCAAAGGAGACUGCCAGUGAUAAACUGGAGGAAGGUGGGGAUGACGUCAAGUCAUCAUGGCCCUUACGACCAGGGCUACACACGUGCUACAAUGGCGCAUACAAAGAGAAGCGACCUCGCGAGAGCAAGCGGACCUCAUAAAGUGCGUCGUAGUCCGGAUUGGAGUCUGCAACUCGACUCCAUGAAGUCGGAAUCGCUAGUAAUCGUGGAUCAGAAUGCCACGGUGAAUACGUUCCCGGGCCUUGUACACACCGCCCGUCACACCAUGGGAGUGGGUUGCAAAAGAAGUAGGUAGCUUAACCUUCGGGAGGGCGCUUACCACUUUGUGAUUCAUGACUGGGGUGAAGUCGUAACAAGGUAACCGUAGGGGAACCUGCGGUUGGAUCACCUCCUUACCUUAAAGAAGC